UGGGUAACCUGCCCAAGAGAUCGGGAUAACACCUGGAAACAGAUGCUAAUACCGGAUAACAACAGAUGAUGCCUAUCAACUGUUUAAAAGAUGGUUCUUCUAUCACUCUUGGAUGGACCUGCGGUGCAUUAGCUAGUUGGUAGGGUAACGGCCUACCAAGGCGAUGAUGCAUAGCCGAGUUGAGAGACUUAUCGGCCACAUUGGGACUGAGACACGGCCCAAACUCCUACGGGAGGCAGCAGCG
rnacentral:rRNA from 1 species